CCUACGGGAGGCAGCAGUGAGGAAUAUUGGUCAAUGGACGAGAGUCUGAACCAGCCAAGUAGCGUGAAGGAUGACUGCCCUAUGGGUUGUAAACUUCUUUUAUAAAGGAAUAAAACGAGGCACGUGUGCCUUUUUGCAUGUACUUUAUGAAUAAGGAUCGGCUAACUCCGUGCCAGCAGCCGCGGUAAUACGGAGGGUCCGAGCGUUAUCCGGAUUUAUUGGGUUUAAAGGGAGCGUAGAUGGGUUGUUAAGUCAGUUGUGAAAGUUUGCGGCUCAACCGUAAAAUUGCAAUUGAUACUGGCAGUCUUGAGUACAGUUGAGGUAGGCAGAAUUCGUGGUGUAGCGGUGAAAUGCUUAGGUAUCACGAAGAACCCCGAUUGCGAAGGCAGCUUACUAAACUGUGACUGACAUUGAUGCUCGAAAGUGUGGGGAUCAAACAGGAUUAGAUACCCGGGUAGUC
rnacentral:rRNA from 1 species